GUCUAUGGCCAUGCCACCCUGAACAAGCCCGAUCCCUUCUGAUCUCGGAAGCUAAGCAGGGUCAGGCCUGGUUCGUACUUGGAUGGAAGAUCACCUAGGAAGACCAGGUGCUAUAGAUG
rnacentral:rRNA from 1 species